rnacentral:rRNA from 1 species
AGUUUGAUCAUGGCUCAGAUUGAACGCUGGCGGCAUGCCUUACACAUGCAAGUCGAACGGCAGCACGGGAGCUUGCUCCUGGUGGCGAGUGGCGAACGGGUGAGUAAUGCAUCGGAACGUGCCCUGAAGUGGGGAUAACGUAGCGAAAGUUACGCUAAUACCGCAUAUUCUGUGAGCAGGAAAGCAGGGGAUCUUCGGACCUUGCGCUUUUGGAGCGGCCGAUGUCGGAUUAGCUAGUUGGUGGGGUAAAGGCCCACCAAGGCGACGAUCCGUAGCGGGGUCUGAGAGGAUGAUCCGCCACACUGGAACUGAGACACGGUCCAGACUCCUACGGGAGGCAGCAGUGGGGAAUUUUGGACAAUGGGCGCAAGCCUGAUCCAGCCAUGCCGCGUGAGUGAAGAAGGCCUUCGGGUUGUAAAGCUCUUUCGGUGGGGAAGAAAUUGCUUGGGUUAAUACCCUGAGUAGAUGACGGUACCCGCAUAAGAAGCACCGGCUAACUACGUG